rnacentral:rRNA from 1 species
UUGGAGGGCAAGUCUGGUGCCAGCAGCCGCGGUAAUUCCAGCUCCAAUAGCGUAUAUUAAAGUUGUUGCAGUUAAAAAGCUCGUAGUUGAAUUUCGAGACCGGUUUAUUGGUCGUGCUUUUGUACGUACUGGUAUUAUUGGUUUCUCCUUUCUGACGAAUCUUAAUGCCAUUAAUUUGGUGUUUUGGGGAAUCAGGACUGUUACUUUGAAAAAAUUAGAGUGUUUAAAGCAGGCUCACGCUUGAAUACAUUAGCAUGGAAUAACGGAAUAGGACGUUGAUUCUAUUUUGUUGGUUUCUAGGAUCGACGUAAUGAUUAAUAGGGAUAGUUGGGGGCAUUAGUAUUCAAUUGUCAGAGGUGAAAUUCUUGGAUUUAUUGAAGACUAACUACUGCGAAAGCAUUUGCCAAGGAUGUUUUCAUUAAUCAAGAACGAAAGUUAGGGGAUCGAAGACGAUCAGAUACCGUCGUAGUCUUAACCAUAAACUAUGCCGACUAGGGAUCGGAUGAUGUUAAUUUUUUAAUGACUCAUUCGGCGCCUUACGGGAAAC